rnacentral:rRNA from 1 species
GACGAACGCUGGCGGCGUGCCUAAUACAUGCAAGUCGAGCGGACUUUCAAGAAGCUUGCUUUUUGAAAGUUAGCGGCGGACGGUGAGUAACACGUGGGCAACCUGCCUGUAAGACGGGGAUAACUCCGGGAAACCGGGGCUAAUACCGGAUAAUAUCUUUCUUCGCAUGAAGGAAGGUUGAAAGGCGGCGCAAGCUGCCGCUUGCAGAUGGGCCCGCGGCGCAUUAGCUAGUUGGUGAGGUAACGGCUCACCAAGGCGACGAUGCGUAGCCGACCUGAGAGGGUGAUCGGCCACACUGGGACUGAGACACGGCCCAGACUCCUACGGGAGGCAGCAGUAGGGAAUCUUCCGCAAUGGACGAAAGUCUGACGGAGCAACGCCGCGUGAGCGAAGAAGGUCUUCGGAUCGUAAAGCUCUGUUGUCAGGGAAGAACAAGUACCGUUCGAAUAGGGCGGUACCUUGACGGUACCUGACCAGAAAGCCACGGCUAACUACGUGCCAGCAACCGCCGUAA